rnacentral:lncRNA from 1 species
GGGGGGCGGUUGGGGUUCACCGCCUCGUGCCGUACUGGCUUCUGGGUGGCCCUUAAUGUCUUGUGCUCUAAGGUGCUGAGGGGAAAGACGCGGGAGGUCUCUGGCCUGACACUAUGAAGGAAGAGAGAAACUACAACUUCGACGGUGUGAGCACCAACCGCCUGAAACAGCAGUUGCUGGAAGAAGUCCGCAAGAAGGAUGCAGUGCAACUCUCAAUAUUUGAACUAAGACACAAGAUUACGGAACUGGAAGCCAAACUCAAUACUGACAAUGAAGGUAGUGAAUGGAAAACCCGUUAUGAGACACAACUUGAAUUAAAUGAUGAACUAGAAAAGCAAAUUGUUUAUCUCAAGGAGAAAGUGGAAAAAAUCCAUGGAAACUCUUCAGAUAGACUAUCUUCUAUUCGUGUCUAUGAACGAAUGCCAGUGAAAGUAUGAGGUUUGCAGUCCAGGGGUGGUGCAGUGGCUGUAUAAUGCCUUCAGGAAUCCAGGCUUCCCCUAAGUUUCUACUCUGCCAUCCAUUUGUGAGUGGCUUUUGUCCUCGUGUUUAAAGAUGGCUGCUUCGCCUUCUCAGCUGCUUCACGUUAUCAUUCAAAAAAAGACAUAGGUGAAGGAGAAAUGGUAAAGGUGAAAGCCGGUCACGUCUACUCCCCUUCAAAGAGCUUUCUAAGAUGCUGCACCCAGUAAUUCCCCUUGACAUUUCAUUGGGAGUUAGAACUGUAUCAUAUGGGCACCUUCGUGUGCAUGACAGGCUAGGAAAUAUAGUGUUUUACUGAAUAUACAGGAAGAAGAGAAGAGUGGAUUGUGAGCGUACAGUUGGCUGUAUCUGCCACACACAAAGUCAUUUAAAGUGAAGGCAUUUCAUUUUAUGUAUUCAUUCAAUUCAUUCAUACAUAUUCGUUCAACAUGUAUUCAGCUGAUAUUAUUUGGAAAAUAAAAGGUAUAGAAAAAGAAUAUCAUAAAAUCAAACAUAUCCACUGUAGACAGUUCUGUUUUUAGUAAUUUUUGUAUGCAUACAUAUUGAUUAAAAAGAACAACCAAAUAAAUAAGUCAGCCAACAAACAAAGUGAAAAAGGAUUACAGCUAGUUUUUAUUGUUGUUUAAAAUAUAAUUAUAACCUUACCGCAUGGACAGUUUUGAAUCCUAUGCUAAUUGGGGUAAUUAAGUCAAUUAUUUCAUAUGUUAUGUUCUCUUCAUGUGCAUUUUUCAAUGAUAUAUUAUGUUCCAUUGUGUUGGAAUGUGAAUGUUCAAUUACUUUUCCCUAUAACUGGGUAUUUUAGGUUGUUUCUGGUUUUAAUUUUGAGUUGAAACCCACAGAGUGUAUUAUGGCAAACAACUCCAUAUUCUAGUAUUUAUAAAUCUUCAGAUCUUUGUCCCUUUUUGACUUUAAAUGUUUUAAUGAAAACAAUUUAUAGAGUUGAGAUCCCUUUUAUUCUCCUCCCUGUCUUCUUUUUGUUUCCUUUUUAUAGGCAAGGACUACCAUGAAUUUGGUAUAUAUUAUUUCAGUUUAUUUUUAAUAUCUCUCUACAUGUUGUAUGUAUAAAAAUGCAUAUAAAAAGUAUCAUACUGUGCAUAUCAUUCUUUUACUCAUUAUUUAAUUCCAUUCAUGUUAAUAAAGAUCUAGUAAAUUUUA